UUGACCAAUAAUUGCGACCUUACACCAAACGACUUUUCAAGCGAUUCCUAUGUUGCAGACUAAUUUCCAAUAUCAGAAUGAAAUCCUGAGAGUCUUGGUAGAGUUGGUGCACACUCAGG